rnacentral:tRNA from 1 species
GCCUUCGUGGUGUAGCGGUAGCACACACUACGCGUAUUCGAGAGGUCCAGGUUCAAAUCCCGGCAAGGGCA